UGAAGUCGGAAUUGCUAGUAAUCGCAGAUCAGCAUGCUGCGGUGAAUACGUUCCCGGGCCUUGUACACACCGCCCGUCACACCAUGGGAGUCGGUAACACCCGAAGUCGGUAGCCUAACCGUAAGGGAGGAGCUGCCGAAGGUGGAGCCGGUAACUGGGGUGAAGUCGUAACAAGGUAAC
rnacentral:rRNA from 1 species